ensembl:lncRNA
UCUGCCCUGGCUUCAGACCAGGAGUUUGUGAGCUUAGUGUGAUCGAUCAUGAUAGCAGGACAUGGUUAUUAAGCCUGCUAGUCUCUGGGUCAGCUCAGAAAGCAAUCAGAGUAAGCUCACACCUCUCUAGAGCUGUCUUUUUUGGUCCUAAGUGACUGCCUGUCCAGGGAGGUGACUAUGUGUCAAGCCAGGACACAGAGGCUGUGAAACACUAGCUGCUCCAAAAUAUCCAUGUAGGCGGCAUACACAGAUCACCAAGACCAAAGCUACAUGUUCCAGCAGAAGAGUGGACGGUGCAUUCCCAUCUUAUUCAGAGUGUAAUGACUAUGGCACUUCUGGGCUUACUUACAAUGGAGACAGGACUACUUUGGAGGCCCAAAAGUGACAAAAAUGACUCUAAUGAUCCUUUGGCAAGAUGCUGCGAAUUCACAGGAGGUGGAAUUUGGAGCCAUAAGGCAGCCAAGGGAGGCUUCUUUCCAAGCUGAGCCAGCUGCUAGCGCAGAGAGGAAGGCACUGGCUCUUCUAAAGGCCAACAGUAUCAAGCUUGCAAGUUACAGAGGACCGAAGCUAGUGCUGAGCAGAAGUGCUUCAUUCUGAAAGCUUACCUAACUUUUACCUCUCUCUGUUACAUUCACUUUCUGACAUGCAGAGAUACCUGUCCCCAAAGGUGGCUUAUAAGAAAAAUGAAGUAAUAAUGAAAAAGCUGUUCUUUUUAAAAAUUACCUCUUAAAAAUGUUGGCCCAGUAUUUUUCUGACAGACCUGAAAGGGUUUCAAGUGGGUUGGUCAAAUAUCAUGUGGCAGCAGUUCACCCUCUCAGGUUGGCAGCAGCUGUUGCAUUAACAAGUGAGGACAACCUGUGAUUAGUGGCUGCAGGACUGUACUUUACCCAGGGAAUUGAUAACCACCUUCAAUUGCUGACAGCAGUUCAUUUUCUCCAAGGUGAAGGAGUGAAUAUGAGCUCUUGUAUCUGAUUAUAAGUUCUUCUCUCCUGGCUGAUCUGCAAGAGCUGAGCUGCUGGAAAACCUAAAGAGAAGUGAGAUAAGCCAAGCAGAGGUGAAAUUUACAGGUUGCAUAACCCAGCUCUAGAUAUUUCUAGACUCUCUGAAUUCAUAUACUCCAUUUUCUGCAUCGGUGCUGAGACAGAUAUACGAAAAGAUUUUUUCCUUCCAAUUUUCUUUGGUCAUAGAAGAACUCAGAGCAUAUUUAUUGGUUAUGUAAAGAGUAGCAAAACAGAAUAAGUAAUGACACAGACAGGAAGCCUUGGUUAUUUCUUACAGCUUUACAUUUUUUAUUUACUGAGGACAUGUAGAAGUAAUCAGAUAAUGAGCAUUUGAUCACAUCUUCUGUCCUGAAUAAAGCUUUGCUUCUACAAGCACAGAAUAGUUUAAGACUCUGCAUGUCUCACUUGUGGAUGAUAAUUAGAUCUUUAAGCAUUUAAUUGGACUUGCACAUAAUUACAGGUAGUAAAGAAAGCGUUUGAAAAAUGAAUUUCCAUUUCCAAAUAAGUUUGCCAGAUGGUUUUAUUUUCAUAUUUAAAAUAAGUGUACACUGUCUGGGCAAAUGUCUCGUCUUUUUCCUGAGAAGUAGAACUAGACGUGAAAGGGUAGUACCUUCUAAUUUCUUUAGUCUAUAGUCAUUUGCUCAGGCUAUCAAUGAUGGAUCCAGUUAACAAUAGAUGUGCAGGUGUAUUUUAUCUAUGUCCCACUCAAAUAUCCUUUUUACAUGGAAAGACCAAUGACUGGUUCAUUUAAUAUAGUAACAAGUAACUGUUCAAUAUAGUCAUUAUUAUCAUAGAAAAUUGUAACUUUUGAUCAACAGCAACAAAUCUAUAACUCCUCUUGAGCUGGCAAUCUGCAGGGAACAAUUUUCAUUCCAUUAUCAACUGCAGUAGUAGUAUUGUGUUAUUAAGUACUUUUGUUCAGUAUUUUGUUUUGGCUGAAUAUAAUAAUAAAACGUAUGUGUAAGAAGUCAGAGCCAUUUUUAUCCUCGAUUUUGUUGUGUGUGAUGUCCAUACUGCAGAUGAUAUACUUCAACAGAAAAGCCUCUAAGGAGUCAGGAUCACAAGACGUGUAUUGUUAUUGAUGUGCAUUGCAUAGGUUUAUAGAUAACACAGUUUCAAAUACAGCAUUGUAUAUUUUUGGCCAUGACAAUCUGUGUUAAGUUUUAGAGAAAGCUGUGUGAAGGAAAACCUCAUAGUGUUGUGCAGAUAUGUUUAAAGUUUAAAAAAUAUAUUUUUAAGAAAGUUUUAUUUUGGCAAACUCUGAAAUAACAGUUCCCCAAACACAGAUUUCAGAAAACAUGGUGUUUGGUAAACACCCUCAUUCCAUUAUAGAAACACUACUGUACAUGGUUGGUAUGCAAAAGGAAACUGAAACAGAAAAAGAAAGACAAAUUUUGAAAUUAUGUACAAUUUUGCUUAUGAAUACUGAGUGAUUAAUUAUUCUUAAACCACUUAUUCAAUCAGCUUUUUCUUUUAAAUUUUGUUUGAUUUUCAAGUUUAUAUAAACUGGUAGAACUGUAACAUCAUCACAUCUUACAUGCAGAAAAGAUCAUUUUCAUUUCCUCGGAAUUAUCUAGGUUUCCAUGUAUUUGGCAAAUUUCAUGUGUUACAGUGGCUCUUGUAAUAGAACAAACAGAUUAUCAAGCUUUCUUUGUGGUACAGAAGAGAUCACGUGCUUUCCGUGAUACGUGAACGUGAAAAAGGACAGUCUUAGUCCACCUUAUGUCAUUUUGGGUUUGAUUUUUCUUUUUUUUUGGACAACAUGUAUUUUUUGUAAAUGUUUAUAAUUUUUAAUAAAUUUUUCAGUACAUACUGAAAAUAUUUAUUUACAACUUUCUCUUUUUAGUUUAAAAUUGUGAUGUGACAUUGAAAAUCUGGGGAGUUCUCUUCAGAAAUUCUACAGAUACACUCAGCUAAUGAAACUUUAGUGAAACUAUGUUAGAGGUUAGCCUUGAUCCCUCCAGAUAACCAUUAAAAAAAAGGCAAAGGUUGCCCAACUGAAAUUUCACUCUACAUGUGGGAUGAUCUGACUAUGAUCUAUUCUGUUUCAGUCUAGAGCUGGAAGUCAUUUUAGCAAGCAAGUAUAAAAAACUUAGUAAUCACUUCGACAAAGAGUCUUCUGGUUUAGUUCUCUGGCAUGGUAGCCAUUUUUUUUCCUUUCUUUUUGUUUUCUUUCUUAUCCUCUCUAUAUGAAGGAAUAGAUUAAUUCACAAAUUCUUAUUUUCUUUGUCACUGGGCUGUGCUGCUGCCUAUCACAAUUUGAGGGGUUGUUCAGCUUGUCAGUUCAGUCAAUUUCUCCAAGUUUCCUUCAGUCAUUUCCUUUGUCUUCUUUGAAGAAUCAUUCUAUUUCAGGUCAUUUAAAAUUGAGUGGUGCCAGGAAACUGAAAUAGGUUUAACAGUAAUCUUGUUCCUUUUUGUAUCAUUCUCCUGCACAAGACAGUAAGCUUCAGAUUUUCAACACAGAUGUUUAUUCAAUACUUAUCUUUUCAUUUUCUGGCUAAGAGUCUUGAAAGGAGGCAUCUGAGACAUUGUGAGACUUCUCAGUCAUGGGCUUGUAACUCGAUUUCUUUGCAGAAAGAACAGUCUAUAAGAUUUAGAGGCUUUCAAAAAAACAGAAUUCAUACAUUGGGUUGGUUUGACCAUCUCUGAACCCUGAAUGCAAAUCUGCAUGACUUUCACUACCAAUUCCACUGCAUUUGCUAUAUCUAAUACUUUGAGACAGUUAUUACAUUUCAAUCCUCCAAAUAUUGCCACAAGAUAGGCAUAUGUCCUAUAUUAUAUCCUCCAGGAUGUUUCCAAGUGUUUAACAAUCAGAUAAUUGUUUUUGCUCUUAUCAAAACGACAGUUUCACCUUGUUUCUCCAAUCUACUAAAAAGUCUGAAAUGUUCUAUAUUUAGUAGCUAUCACACAUUAGUGGCUUCAGUGGUCUUCUGUGAUUUUGGUGGUUUUGGCAACAAAAUUUUUCACAGGGAAAAGAUCUGAUUUUCACAAAUAUGAGAAGAUGGGAAAUAGGAGGAGGGAUAGAGGGAACAAAUCAGUGUUAAUCCUAAUCUGUGAUCUCAUGCAUAAGAAUUUGCCGUACCUUUUCAGUUGCUGCCAAUUCCAGUUUUCUGCCAAUUCCAGUUUUCUGCCAAACGUCAAUUUUCACACAGAGUGUGAAACACUUUCCAUUUCCAAACUUAUAACAGAUCUGCUGGACUUGAACUCACUCCAGUAAGUUGCAGUUAAUUUAAAUACAUCACAAGCAAAAUGAAAGGAAAGAUUUCACUUAAGCAGAGUAAAGGAAAUGAGUACUGCCCUUUUGGUCAGAUCAGACUUGUUAUAGAUGAGGCUGAUCCUCGUAAAAAUCAUUUAACAAAUGCUCUAGUUCAAUAGUAUGAAGAUAAAUGACAAAAUGCUUAUCGUUCAUUUUACUGGUAAACUAGAGACUAAACACAACACUUUGUACAAGAUAUUCUAAUAAGGAGUACAAAAAAAAAAAAUACUGAUCAAAUUAGGGUAAAAAGGAAAAUGUAAUUUGGCUGUGUUGUACUUUGCCUACAGUACUGAUUAUAUUUUGUAGACCCUUGUCAAUUUUGGGUUGUCCAUAUUGGGUAAGAAAACCUACUGUGAACCUGAUCAGUAAAAUUCUAAUACAAGUAUACUUGUGCUUCUGAAAUAACAGUCCUCCAUGCAGAUCUAAGUUCUCAUUUGUCAGGGAAAAAUGGAAGAAACUUCUGCAAGGCAGGCAAGGAGACAGAUAUUUUGAGUCAAAUAGCUGUAUGUAGUCUUCUGCAUUAAAUUAUUAUUAAACAGAGUUUAAUAAUUCAGAGAAGAGAGAUCUGUAGCAUGAGCCUCCCAGAUAACUUCCACUAGAAGCACAUCAGUCUAAACAUCCAUUUUGUUGAUUCUACAUCAUAUUUGAUAUGAUUAAAUGGCAUUAGACAUCGUCAUGUCAUUUGGUAUGAUUCAGUUUCAGUAGAGAAACAUGAAAGUAUUAGGUAACCCGGGAUUGAUGGGUAAAUUUCUUCAUCUCCCUCUAGUACAUUUCAUCAAAGGGAAAUCAAGACAUUUCCCUGCCUUGAACAGAAAGAGAAUCAUUCUCCCUCCUGUCUAACCAAUGGCCUUGAGAUCUUGGAGCCUGGCAUGCCUGAGAAGGAUGCCUCUUUGCAAUGUUAUAUAGUCUGUAUUGUCUAAGCAAAAUUUCAGGUUCUCAAAUACAAUGUCAACUUGGCACCACAUUGUUUUCUCCUUUUCUGAAAGUCUUUAUCCUUUUGGAGUUCCUCUCUGCUCUUCAUGCUGUUUUCUAGAUUUGGACCCUGAACUCCCCAGGAACUGGCUGUGCUGCCUUGCAGCAGCUGUUCAUGCAAGGAGAUAAAGCCAUUGGAGUCCCAAAAUUAAUCAUAAAAACAAGAGAGGUCAACAUGCCUUCAACAGUUCAAACAUGUUUAUUCAAACAGAAGAAUGGAAAACUAGGUCAAAGAUCAAACCCAAGCAAAACAAGAUAGGAAAAAACAGCAUGUAGAUAAGAUACAUAGUAUAUAGCCAAACACAACUUGAUUAAGCAAAUAACACACAAACCAUAUCAAAAAGAUUUCUCAGGCAUAAACAUGUGGAUGCAUAAGUGAGGAAGACUAUCAUAUUCUUUCCUCAGAUCCAGUAAAUGCUGUCAACUGUUCCUUCAUUACUACUGAGAUGCAUUGGUUGUUGGCAUUCUGCUGGAAUGCUGGGUAUUUCUUAUUUUGAAAAGUAUUCAGCCUGUCUCCAUUUGAAUUUUCAUGAGGGCAACUUGAAGUAUAAUGUCUGCAGGUCAUGUCUAGAGUCUCAGCAAUGUUUUGUAAGUAGGACUAAGACAAGAACUAAAAGGCUCAAAGAAAUUCCUAGUUUGGCUCUUUUCACUAUUUUGCUCUUAGGGGAGGUGUUGUCGCACAAGUAGGAAUUGGCAAUGACUAUUUUCUAUAUUUUUAAUGCUGAUAUGCUGGGUAUUUCAGGCAAAACACCACUGCUUGUCUGAAUGGGUCUGUGUACCAGCUUUUGCUGUGCUAGAAGAAUUAGCACUGAGAUUGCAGAGGCAGGUUUGCAGGAGGCUGUGCAAAAGUCCUCCCACUAACAGUAACUGUGGAUAUGGAAACAGUAACAUGAGAAUGCAGUAAACAGCUGUGUUGUUGGAGUUAUUGGUUAUGGAGCUGCACAGUGCUUUUGCUUUCAGAGCACAUUGUGCACAAUUUGAAAUUGUACCAGGCCUGAUGUGAUGUAUCAGUGUCAUAUAUACAAACUGACUUCUGAUGACUGGAGUGCUCUAAAGGACUGAUGAGACAUGAGGUAAGCAGGACAAGAUCAUGCUCCAUUGCACGGUGAAGCUACACAGCUUCCUUCUUUGCCAUUGUGUUGCAUCUUCUCAGGAAACUCUAAAAUGCGAUCAGCAGGGAAUUCCAUCUCUUACCUGUUAGAGAAGAUAAAAAUGAUAUGGAGAAGAGCAUCAUGGUAGAAAAAUGAGCUUCCUGAAUGAGGCUUUCAGGUUCUCCUGAUAACAUGGCAUUCACUAAACCAGAGGACAUUUGUCACUCACAUAGAGAUUAAGCUCCUUUUCUUGAUCUCAGGCAUGAGUAACCACUCACUCAGGCAGAAUGAGUUCCUGUAGCAGUGUAUGAUAUAAAGCUUCCCAAAAGCCAAAGUGUGAACAAUUUCAACACUGACAGGACAAUUGUAUGGGCUGGGCUGACAUUUCUUCUUAUGUGACCUAGCAGGAAGACAUUUCUCCAGCACUCUAUCCACCCUCACUGGACUCAGAAUGACAUAAGCACAGAGGUUCUUUGUGAACAUGAAAAGAAAACUUCCUUGCUUUGAGGAUGACAGAGCGCUGGAACAGGCUGCCUGGAAGGCUGUGGAGUCUCCACUGCAGAUACUCAAAACCCACCUGAACACUUUCAUGUGUAACCUACCAUAGGGAAUCUACUUUAGCAAAGGUUGGGCUAGAUGAUUUCCAGAGGUCCCCUCCAACACCUAUGACUCUGUGAUUCUGUGUUCUGGAGAUAAAACAGGGGCAAGGGAAAUUGUCACCACCAUCAAAAAGGCCACAAUCAUGUGACAACAUGGCAUAGCUGCCUCACCAUAUAGGAAUCUCAUAGCAUAGCCUGUCCUGAUAGUUUGUGCUAAUCUAAACAUUCAUGUAUUUUAUUUUUGGCUUCUUAAAUCUGAAACAGUUCUUUGGUGCCCUGGCCAGCUCUGUUGCUCGAUGAAUGGGAAAUUUUCCAGCUGCAAAACUGUGAAUAUGUGCUUCUUGUUCACAAGCUCCUUCAGGUUGGUUUUUUUUCUUUUGCACCUCAUACUGCUCUCUUCAGAGAAUUUGGCUUGGUGACAAAGCAACUAGCCAAGAAAUGGGGAUGCCAAAAGUAUCAUAUCUCAGUGCUGAGGAAUGGUGUCUCUAUGCUAUGGUAAAUCAUAGGCUAUAAGCACCUUCUAAGAUGUCUUUGCAGAGCAGUGGAGGUGUCAGGUUGUGUCCAAUGCGGUGAGGCUGAGGCCAUGUUACUUACAAGGACAGAAAGAGAAUAAGUACAGAAAUGAAUCACAGCAGAGCCUGUGUGUACUCUAUGCUUUGGAAGCAGUCAAUGGAAUGGGACUUGAGAGCAAAAUCAGAAAAAUAUCAAUAUAUCUUGUGUAUACAGACACAACUGUAAUUUCAGAAGACUCCAAGAGCUGUGGGGAACAGUCUUCAGCGAAAAUUUGAUGUGUAGCUCAAAUGUGUAUUUGAAUUUCUAAGAACUGCCUGAGAUGCAGUGAAUUCCAGAAUUUGUAUAGCCCUCCUAAUUGCAUUUUCACACAUUCUUUUAAAUUAAUGACAAAGUGCUUCCUAACAUUAUUUUACUGCAUCUUCUGUGAAAGAUACAUUUCAUUUUGCACUGCUGUGUGUCUAUAAAAGAAGAUAAGAAUCCAUAAUAGUUAAAGUGAACUUAGUUAAUGUACUUGUUCAGUACUGUUUACAGCAAUCAGAAAAAGUAAAUAAAAUGGAAUAAAAUAUAUAUUUGAGUCAAAAUAGACAAAGAUACUAAAAUCUCCAGGGAUAUGUUGAAGGCGUAUAUUAACAUACC